UGCACUCCAACCUGGGGGACAGAGUGAGAUUCUGUCUUCAAAAAAAAGAAUACAAGCUUACUCAGCCUGAGGAUCCUUAAUCUAGUAAAAGAUAGCAGACAAGUCACUUCUGCUCAUAGACUUCCACUCAGUUGCUCUGGUCAGAAACCUCCCCAACUCAGUCAUUCUUAAGUGUUUUCUGAGCUGCGUCCAAAGGAGAGAACAUUGACUUCUGUCUCCAGGAGACACAGGAUCCAUCACGGAGGAGAAACCCUCCCGCUGAUUUGGAAGAAUACCCUGCAAACCAGGAUCCACCCCACUGGAAGAAACUAUUGGGGAGUUGAAAACUUGAAUUUCUGAUGAUCUUAAAGGCACCCGAGUGAACGAAGGAGCUGAUACUGA
rnacentral:lncRNA from 1 species